rnacentral:rRNA from 1 species
UAGAGGCAGCAGUAGAGAAUCUUGUGCAAUAAACGAAAGUAUGACACAGAGAGGACACAUUUAAUUGAGCCCGUCAAAUUAAGUGCCAGCCGACGCGGUUAAACUUAAGGGCUGGUCUUUAUAAGUAAAAAGGCGUAAAGGAUGUGUAGGCCAAGAAACGAUCCAAGUAGGUAAAUGGAAUUUUUCUGGAGCGGUAGAAUGUGAGGAUAGAAAAUAGAACCCCUAAGGUAAAAACUAUUUACUACAAGGUAGGCUGAAACAUGAGAGUGUGGGGAGCAAACAGGAUUAGAGACCCUGGUAGUCCACACUGUGAACUUUGAAGAUGAUGCUUAGCAGACCCGAAAGGUAAAAUCUUCCGCCUGAGUAGUACGAUCGCAAGAUUAAAAUUCAAAAACUUUGGCUGUUCACUAUUUCGAUUAGAGGAGCGUGUAGUUUAAUUCGAUGGUCCGCGUGUUACCUUACCCCAACUUGAAUCUGUGACCGGUAUUGCAUGGCCGUCGUAAGUUCGUGUAUUAAGCUAGAAGGGACCCAACCCGGGCACUUGCCCGGAGGAAGUCAGGUCUUAUGAUCCGAAUGUUGGGGGAUUUUAUGCGCUACAUUUUCUUAUAUAAUGAGAAACCUGGAAGGUGAAUCUCUAAAGUAAGAGUUCGGAAGGUCGCUGUAAGACGACUGGAAGUUGGAUUUAAUAGUAAUCGGAAAGUAGGGCGUUCCGGUGAAUUGGUACAAGUGUUAGCACAAAUUGCCCGUCACCUUUACUUAGAAUGGUUAUUCGGAUGUCUUCGGUGAUUAUGA